rnacentral:rRNA from 1 species
UAUACCGUAGCUUGCUACACCAUAGACUGUGAGUUGCGAACGGGUGAGUAACGCGUAGGUAACCUGCCUAUUAGAGGGGGAUAACUAUUGGAAACGAUAGCUAAUACCGCAUAACAGUAUGUAACACAUGUUAGAUGCUUGAAAGAUGCAAUUGCAUCGCUAGUAGAUGGACCUGCGUUGUAUUAGCUAGUAGGUAGGGUAAAGGCCUACCUAGGCAACGAUACAUAGCCGACCUGAGAGGGUGAUCGGCCACACUGGGACUGAGACACGGCCCAGACUCCUACGGGAGGCAGCAGUAGGGAAUCUUCGGCAAUGGGGGGAACCCUGACCGAGCAACGCCGCGUGAGUGAAGAAGGUUUUCGGAUCGUAAAGCUCUGUUGUUAAGGAAGAACGAGUGUGAGAAUGGAAAGUUCAUGCUGUGACUUUACUAACCAGAAAUG